GAACGCAUAUUGCGCUCUCUGGUAUUCCGGAGAGCAUGCUUGUUUGAGUAUCAGUAAACACCUCAGCCAGAUUCUUUUCUGGAUGGACUUGAGCAAACCCAACGUGUGGUCUCUUCGGAGGCAGCGGCGGGUUGCUUGAAAUGCAGGGGCAGCUGUGACAAGAACAGACUGAGCUAAAAGCAUAUCUAAUUUAGUCCGCCUGGCGGAUUAUCUCUAUUUGCUGCAGUUCAACCAAAGUCGUCUUGUCUAGCUGACUGAUGCAGGAUUUGGCAGACUUUCUGUCUCUCUUUGAGAGAUAGACUUCUUUCAAAACUCGAUCUCAAAUCAAGUAAGACUACCCGCUGAACUUAAG
rnacentral:misc_RNA from 1 species